GAUUAGUCAGGCAACUCAUUUAUGGAGAUCCUUAGUCACCAUCUAGUGACUAAUUUCCUUUCAAGUCUAGAAUACUGGAUUUUCUGUCCCGUGCAUUCCCAGUUCUCAACUGCGAGGAACUACCAAGUGAGAAUGUCCAUGAGUUCCAGUUCUGCUCCAUCCUUCUUUACCUCCUUGGGGGAAAGGUUGUGGGGAACCAUGAGCCGAUACACGGGCUGAGUAGCAGUGAGUCGGAAGAACUCCUUGCCAGCAGACUCCUCAAAGUCACUUCGGUCAAAGUACAGUUCUCGGGUUAGAGGCAUUUUUCGCGACCGCUCGUCAUUCUUGCUUGCCAAAGAGCUAACUUCUCGAAGUGGUCCUCAGGCAGGAUCUCAACUGGUAUUAGUGGAUUCAUUACACUCUUCACAAUACAAAGAUGAAGUUCGUUAAGCAAAUUGGUAUCAUCUGGCGUUUGGGGGCGUAGUGGAGAUGGGCCUAUCUGAACAUACAGACUGCUGUUCGAUACAAAUGCUACAAUGUUGUAAUUGAGAGUGUAACUGGUGCAGUAGUGCGAUUAACGGUAUCGUACAGCAUGUACAUACAGUAAUCAUCAUAAGAUGCUCUAGACACUACGACCCCCAUCUUACCGUGCUGUGGGAAACCCGCCCCACUACGACUAAUGGUUACCAGAAGAGUUCUGUGUAUUGUUUAUAGUACCUUGAAGAU
rnacentral:misc_RNA from 1 species